AUUGAACGCUGGCGGCAUGCCUUACACAUGCAAGUCGAACGGUAACAGGUCUUCGGAUGCUGACGAGUGGCGAACGGGUGAGUAAUACAUCGGAACGUGCCUAGUAGUGGGGGAUAACUACUCGAAAGAGUGGCUAAUACCGCAUGAGAUCUAAGGAUGAAAGCAGGGGAUAGCAAGACCUUGUGCUACUAGAGCGGACGAUGGCAGAUUAGGUAGUUGGUGGGAGAAAAGCUUACCAAGCCGACGAUCUGUAGCUGGUCUGAGAGGACGAUCAGCCACACUGGGACUGAGAAACGGCCCAGACUCCUACGGGAGGCAGCAGUGGGGAAUUUUGGACAAUGGGCGCAAGCCUGAUCCAGCAAUGCCGCGUGCAGGAUGAAGGCCUUCGGGUUGUAAACUGCUUUUGUACGGAACGAAAAGCCCCGGGUUAAUACCCUGGGGUCAUGACGGUACCGUAAGAAUAAGCACCGGCUAACUACGUGCCAGCCGCCGCGGUAA
rnacentral:rRNA from 1 species